UUUGACGUAACGCCCCGCCCCCCGAGCCCUUUUCUUUACAGCUUGGGGCGCGCGCUGAGUGAAGGAAGGCGGUACCCACGCCACCAACGUUGCUGGCGGACGGGCGCGCCUUUCAAGCAGUCUUCCAGGAACGUGAGGUCAGCUUUUAAUUUGAGCCACAUCUCUCUGGCCAAGUUUUUGUUUUUUACCCUUGCAAAGCUGCUGCUUGUUCAGUUCCAGCCAUUUUGCCUGCGGGCGGUUCAGUCCCCAUCCAGACCUGUUGCAUUUGCCGCCCACCUGGCCCCUGGCUGCUAAGUUCUGCCUGCCUGCUUCUCCUGCUUCUGCUCCUGGCCUCUCACCUGGUGCCCGAGCUCCUGGCCCUGUUUGUCUGCACUCCGGCUCUGGCCCCUGCCCUGCUCAACCCAGCGGUUUUUCUCUUGUUCACCUGGCCCACCUGAUUCAACCAAGAUUGCAUCUGGUGACCUGCCUGCCCAACAAACCCAGAGCCUUGAUCACAUUUGGAAUACAGUGCAUAAUCCUGGGCACCAAAUUUUAGAAGGGACAGAGCACAAAAUACUACCCCAAUCCUUCAUGAUGUGUUUAAGAAUUUGACAUGGUGCAUGAGUGUAAUUCCUGCUCCUGAUGGACUACCUGAACUUGGGUGUUUUGAACUGCAAUAGGACUGAGCCAGUUGGGGGUCUGUACUAAAUCUGGCACCAAUAUGGGAGCUCCUGGGAGCAAGAGACAUCCAGACUGCCUAAGGAGGGGAAAACCAACUCAAGGUGGAAACAAAGAAGGUCCAUGCCAAACCAAUAAUGGGACUGUGAAGCUCGGAAGAGACAGUCUCAAAAAAAAAAAAAAAGGUAUCGGGCCACUGAGUUCUCAAUAAAGCUUUGACAGGUUCUGCUCAAAUGAAAACGUUUCAUGUGAAGAACUGGCAAUACAAUUAUGUUUACUGCCCAAGGACAAGAUUAGCUACGUAUGUGAAGGCUCAUCACUAGCAGGGACAUGGGGCAAUAAAUUCUUUAGCCACAGCAACUCAUGAAACAUCACUAAUACAAAAUGAUACUCCAUCCUGUGCAACUUCCUGUUUCUGUAGUAACAGUGAUAGAAAAGUGUUGGGUAAAGCCUUUAGGAUUCAGUUUUUAAAUAAGGCAGGGAGAAGGGAAUAUACAUUUCUAUAAAUCCUACUAUGUAUCAGGCCCUGUGCUAAAUGCUUGUAAAACUUUUAAUGUUUAAAAACCCCUUACUUUCUGUCCUAAUUCUUGAUACAAAGUAUCUAAUCCUAAUACGAAAUAUAGCUUCCAAUGCAGAAGAAUAAUAAGGGCUGAGCAAUUGGGGUUAAGUGACUUGCCCAGGGUCACAUAGCUAGGUGGUGUCUGAGGCCACAUUUGAACCCAGGACCUUGUCUCUAAACACAGUAUGAUAUUCUAUCCACUGAACCACCCAACUGUCCCUGCUAAAUGCUUUUUACAAAUAGUAUCUCAUCUGAUCCUCACAAACAUAGGAUAAAGGUACUAUUAUUAUCCCCACUUAACAGAUGAGGAGACAGACUAACAAAAGUUAAGUGACUUUUCCAGAGUCACACAGCUACUAAAGUAUCUGAGACCAGAUCUGAUCUGGUACUUUGUCUACGAACCAUCAGCUUCUUCUACAAAGCUAAAUUCUGCUGUUAGUUCUUUAAGUGAGUACUGUUAGCCUGGAGAAGCCUUAGGUUAAGAACUGUCUUCAAUUACUUGAAGAGUUGUCAAAGGGAAAAGAAAUGAAUCUUAAUCUCUUUGGCUAUAGUGGUAACCUUGAGAUUUUAUACCAAUAGAGUAUUGUAAGAUAAUAGCUCUACUGAAGAAGUAGAAAAUAGGGAAGAGAAGUAGGAUAAUAUGAGAACUCUGAGUUUUUGACUCAACUCAUACUAUUCAAGCAUCAUCUGAAGCAUGAAGAUUCUUAACCUGGAGAAGAAAUGACUUAGAUGGGGACACAAUGAUUAUAUUCAAAUAUCUGAAAAGUUGUCAUGUGAAAGAGGAAUUGUUUUGCUCAAUUUACAGAGUGAAUGACUAGAACCAAAUGGGUAAAAGUUAAAGGGCGACAGAUUUCAAUUUAACAAGAAAAAACUUCCAAAAAUAGAAUGGGUUGAUUUGGGAAAGUAAUGAGUCUACUAGUAGCUUGAUAACUAUGUUUUUUCCUAUUAAUGAGCAUCUAUCUUCAAGUGGAAUCUGGAAGAACAUCUGUCUGUUAUGUUUUUGUCAGGAUCUAUACUAGGUGGACUAGAUGACUUCCAUAAUUCCUUGCAACUUUGAGACAAUAUGACUUACUGGUCACUCACUCUUUG